GAGGUUAAGCGACUAAGCGUACACGGUGGAUGCCCUGGCAGUCAGAGGCGAUGAAGGACGUGCUAAUCUGCGAUAAGCGUCGGUAAGGUGAUAUGAACCGUUAUAACCGGCGAUUUCCGAAUGGGGAAACCCAGUGUGAUUCGUCACACUAUCAUUAACUGAAUCCAUAGGUUAAUGAGGCGAACCGGGGGAACUGAAACAUCUAAGUACCCCGAGGAAAAGAAAUCAACCGAGAUUCCCCCAGUAGCGGCGAGCGAACGGGGAGCAGCCCAGAGCCUGAAUCAGUGUGUGUGUUAGUGGAAGCGUCUGGAAAGGCGUGCGAUACAGGGUGACAGCCCCGUACACAAAAAUGCACAUACUGUGAGCUCGAUGAGUAGGGCGGGACACGUGGUAU
rnacentral:rRNA from 1 species